AACCUUUUUCAAGACUGUGCCAGGGGUGGGAUUCUACCAGUUCGCACCUAUUCGCUAGAAUUGGUUGUUAACAUUCUAAACAGUUUGGAGAACCAGUUGUUAGAGAAAUUACUGGCGUAAUCCUGUCGGGAAGGCAGGAAGGAAACAUUCUGGUUUGCUUACAGAAACUGCCUCUCCAUUAACCCUUAUUAUAUUCUUGCCAGGACUAGACUUCCUGUCUCUGGAACUUCU